rnacentral:snRNA from 1 species
GGCUUUGCGCAGUGUCAGUAUUGUAGCCAGUGAGGUUUAUCCGAGGCCUGAUUAUUGCUAAUUGAAAGAUUCUCUGAAUUUCCUUCUAACCUUUUCCCUCCACCUCUUCCAAUGCUCAUAAAUACCCGCAUAUUCUAAAUUACAGUCUCCUUUUAAGAGG